rnacentral:rRNA from 1 species
GACGAACGCUGGCGGCGUGCUUAACACAUGCAAGUCGAACGGAAAGGCCCUGCUUUUGUGGGGUGCUCGAGUGGCGAACGGGUGAGUAACACGUGAGUAACCUGCCCUUGACUUUGGGAUAACUUCAGGAAACUGGGGCUAAUACCGGAUAGGAGCGCCUGCUGCAUGGUGGGGGUUGGAAAGUUUCGGCGGUUGGGGAUGGACUCGCGGCUUAUCAGCUUGUUGGUGGGGUAGUGGCUUACCAAGGCUUUGACGGGUAGCCGGCCUGAGAGGGUGACCGGCCACAUUGGGACUGAGGUACGGACCAGACUCCUACGGGAGGCAGCAGUGGGGAAUAUUGCACAAUGGGCGGAAGCCUGAUGCAGCAACGCCGCGUGCGGGAUGACGGCCUUCGGGUUGUAAACCGCUUUCGCCUGUGACGAAGCGUGAGUGACGGUAAUGGGUAAAGAAGCACCGGCUAACUACGUG